UUGGAGGGCAAGUCUGGUGCCAGCAGCCGCGGUAAUUCCAGCUCCAAUAGCGUAUAUUAAAGUUGUUGCAGUUAAAAAGCUCGUAGUUGAAUUUCGGGAUCAAAUUGUCGGUCGUGCCUCGGUACGCACUGGUAUUAUUGGUUCCUACCUUCUGAAGAACCGCGAUGUCAUUAAUUUGGUGUCGUGGGGAAUCAGGACUGUUACUUUGAAAAAAUUAGAGUGUUUAAAGCAGGCUUACGCUUGAAUACAUUAGCAUGGAAUAAUGAAAUAGGACGUUUGAUUCUAUUUCGUUGGUUUCUAGGAUUGACGUAAUGAUUAAUAGGGAUAGUUGGGGGCAUUAGUAUUCAAUUGUCAGAGGUGAAAUUCUUGGAUUUAUUGAAGACUAACUACUGCGAAAGCAUUUGCCAAGGAUGUCUUCAUUAAUCAAGAACGAAAGUUAGGGGAUCGAAGACGAUCAGAUACCGUCGUAGUCUUAACCAUAAACUAUGCCGACUAGGGAUCGGAUGAUGUUAAUUUUUUAAUGACUCAUUCGGCGCCUUACGGGAAAC
rnacentral:rRNA from 1 species